AUACGGAGGGUGCAAGCGUUAAUCGGAAUUACUGGGCGUAAAGCGCACGUAGGCGGCUUGUUAAGUCAGAUGUGAAAGCCCCGGGCUCAACCUGGGAACUGCAUUUGAUACUGGCAGGCUAGAGUAUGGUAGAGGCAAGUGGAAUUCCGGGUGUAGCGGUGAAAUGCGUAGAUAUCCAGAGGAACACCAGUGGCGAAGGCGACUUGCUGGACCAAUACUGACGCUGAGGUGCGAAAGCGUGGGGAGCAAUCAGGAUUAGAAACCCUAGUAGUCC
rnacentral:rRNA from 1 species